UGUAACAAAUUAGCCGUUUAUGAGGUAAGAGAGCAGGGCUGUGUGCCGCAGCGGCGAGGCAGGGCUGCGCAUAAGGGGGCCUUUCAGCCGGCUUCAGGGGGCGGCCAGGCGGGCAGGCGUUGCGGGGGACUGGCUCUGCCCCAGGCCUGCCAGUACGGCCUGGCACCCAUGGGAUGGAGGGCUGGGAGGCCCUGGUUGACCUCUGGCUUGGACUCUGGGUUUGAUGAAGAGUUCCAGCGGAAGCAUCAGCCAGUCAUUAAUUCCAGGGGAGGGUGCACGUGGAACCAGAAUGGGUGGCUGGCCAGGCAGGAGGCUGCCCCUCACCAGGGAGAGGAAAGAGCGCUCCUCUCUCCAGCCUUGCUGUGGCCUUUAACUUGCUUCACCGGGUGUCCAGAAUCACAGGCGGGUGGAAUGAGAGCAGUUUGAAUGAAACCUGGUGGGCAGACAGUUUGGUAUUGAAGUGCUGGGAUUUCACGUCCUCUGGGUUGUCUCGCUGUGGCUCCGAUGCCUUUGACGUGAACAGCUCACAAGUCCAUCACUCGCAUUCUGUGGCGUCUGGCAUCUCCCGAUUUGGAGUUUCUGAUUCUGUGGUUAGACCUUAUGUUGCCAGGGCCUGGGCUUUUCAUUCUUUCUAAUUUUUUAAAAAUGUAUGAUUAUUGUCUAGAGACAUUAUUUUUAAAAAGUAUAAACCAUCCCAGUGCUGACAAGCCUGUUGUGGGGAGGACUCAGUGUGAUAAGGCAUCUCAGGGCGCUGGCAUUUAGCCUCCAAUACAAUCUAGCAGGGCUAGGGCACAGGGCCAGCGGCCACCCUGCAGGCUCACAGGGACAGGAUUCUGCUCUGCAGUUAGCCCCAGGGAUGGGACUCUCCAGCACUUUUCCCUCCAGUCGCUCCAGGGCGGGAGGAUCAUGGCCCAUGCCAGUGGAGUGUAAGGAAUCCCCUGGAAAAGCGGGGCGCUUGAAUAUCCUGAGUGUUUGGUCUGCAGUCACCAACACAUCGCUUUCCUGGAUCUGAUUUUAUUUAUUUUGAUUGGAUCUUUAACAGCUCUUUACAAGGCUGAAACCGAAGCCGCCUGAGGUCCCCGGGAGACUUGCUAAAACUUCAACUGCACCCAGUUUAGCGGAGCAACUUGAAAGUUAAUCAGCGGUGAGGGACAGUUUGCCUCAUUAUUUCCAGCCCUGGAAUUUGGCGGCAGAUGGAAUUUGGGGCCUGGUGUGGACACGGCAAUGAACACAGCAAGGACUGUCGCCCCUUGGUAUGGCCUUGUGGGGUCUGGGCCUGGAUGGGCUGAUACUCCCUCUGAAGACGGGCGGUGCCAGGAAGGAUUUCCCACUUGAGAGAACAAGGGCAAUCAGGCUGCCCUAUCCCAGGUCCAGGCCAGUGUGGAGUAAUCCUUAGAUACACAGUUCUGAGCACGUAUUCGGGCUGAACCCUGCACUGGAUUCUGGGGAAACAAGAGUGGAAUCCGAUACAGUUGCAUCCAAUAUAGGACGCAGACCAGAGACACUGGGGUAAAUUCUCACAGGAGAGGAACACCUGUGGCUGGCACCUUCUGCAUGAAUCUGCGAAAAACAAAUCUGCCCCACUUGCCCUCACUUUCUCAAUAAGGUCCACUCAGACCCUUGACUUUAAUGUUAACCCCCUCCCAGGCACUCCCACCUCCACACUCUGCCAUACUCUCCACAGCACAUAGCACUGACCACCUUCUAACACACUAUGUUAGUUCCUCACUUAUCAUGUUUAUUGUUUAUCACAUCACCUUCCACAGGAAGGUAAGACCCUCCUUCCAUGAGGGCAGGAAUGUUUGUUUUGUUCAUUAGUCUAUCUCCAGCCCCAGCACAUAAAAUGCACUCAAUAAAUGUCGUGUGAACAAAUGAA